rnacentral:rRNA from 1 species
AUUGAACGCUGGCGGCAGGCCUAACACAUGCAAGUCGAACGAGUGGCGGACGGGUGAGUAAUGUCUGGGAAACUGCCUGAUGGAGGGGGAUAACUACUGGAAACGGUAGCUAAUACCGCAUACCAUCAGAUGUGCCCAGAUGGGAUUAGCUAGUUGGUGGGGUAACGGCUCACCAAGGCGACGAUCCCUAGCUGGUCUGAGAGGAUGACCAGCCACACGGGAAGUGAGGCACGGUGCAGAAUCCUACGGCAGGCAGCAGGGGGGAAGAUUGCACAAUGGGCGCAAGCCUGAUGCAGCCAUGCCGCGUGUAUGAAGAAGGCCUUCGGGUGGGAAAGUACUUUCAGCGGGGAGGCGUUACCCGCAGAAGAAGCACCGGCUAACUCCGUGCCAGCCGCCGCGGUAAUAG